GCUCCAAGCGCACACCACGGCCGAGUCAAUAUUCUACCCUCAAUCGCCGAAUUGUCGAUAUACCUAAUUAUUCGCACGGGCAGCCUACCGAGAGACCUUACCUCAGCGAGGUCUGCUUGGACACGAACCGCUUAAGCGGUUCGUUCCGUUCUAGGAUAACCGAGCGGGGUAUUAUCGUGAGACCUCACUGGACCGGAGUCUUUUACUGGCUAUCAAAAAGCCAGCUAUUAUUCUGAAGGCAAGAUAGCAUGUCAAUGGGGAAAGAGGACACAAUGAACGGGUUAACAUUUAAACACGCACAUUUAUUCACACACGUAUGCAAAACACCAACAUGCACGUAUACAGAAAAGCAAUGGAAUUGGCAGGAAGGGUCAAGACGCGAGCAAGACAAAGCACUACAACCGUCUAUUAUUUAUUAUUCACAAGCACCUAACAACAGUUCUACUUGCGGACAUGGCGCCACAACAUUCACACAAAUAAAAGCAAGGAAAGACCCCCUCAAAGACAAGGGGGUCAGACUGGACCUGUAGGCCUUUAUAAUGUGGAGUUUGGCGAACCGAAGGAGUUCCACGAGACCGUUGCAGGUUACCUCCACCCUCGUGGUGCCUCGAUGGGGCGACCCGCGACGUCCCGUCCCCACGGCAGCGAGCGUAGCCGCGGUUGAGCCCAUCCUUGCCAAGUGGCCGGGUGAUUCGGGCCUCAGCCGGAAAUGCGUUGAGAGGAACGAACGGGUCUUGGUGCCCUUCCAAAGUUGAUGUUCUUUGUAAGAAUCCGUCCGUUCCUCAGCGAUGCUCGGACUGUCCCGAAGCCCUAUCACCUCACACCGUUUGGCGCUGGCUGGCGAGCUCUCCCCGGCUCUCUCCACACGAACGCGCAGGUCUGCUCAGCAGAGCAGGUUCAGCCACGCUCUCAGCUCGCGUGUCCUCCGCUCUCCUGGACUUCUACCCCCAACUGUGUUCUCCAGACUCUAGACUCCAGACUUCACCGACUGACUCCACUGAAUCACGACUGCGAACUGGCGCUCUGGUCGGCCUUUUAUACGGCUCGAGAGAGGAGAUCUGACCUCCGCUCUUUGACCUUCGACCCCCACAGGCUCUGCCCCUUUCGAUCCUAUGAUCUGAAUUUUGAGGCGAAACUUCCACAGAGCGGACGUGCGCAAGAUCACCAGACUUGCGUGGAGAGUGGACGUGCGCGAGAUCACCAGACUUGCUCGGAGAGCAAACCCCCGCGUCUUUCCGCAGCGAUGCCAUUCGAUGCGGACUCGCCGCGGCUGGUGAAAAGAUGGCAUCGCUUCGGGGAUGAAGGACACGGAAAUCCUGUGCUGGGAUAUUCGGGCUCCAGUAAAACCCAUGUGCUCACUGCACCGUGACGUCUCCACAAACCAAAGGAUAUACUUUGACAUUGACAGAACUGGGCAUUGGUUGGUGUCAGGUGGGACUACUGGUUUUGUCUCCACCUGGGAGAUCAAAUCGAUAGGCACUUCGUCAGUAGAUUCUUCAGUGGGAGCGGUUGGUUCAUUCGUUGCUAACCAAGACUGUGUCAGUGGAAUCAGGUGAGUGAAAAAUGGCAAGUAAAUUUGAAUUCACAAUAUGCUAUAACUAUUAACUGACAAGAGCACUGGAAUACAUGCAGUACCAUAGAAAACAUUGAGUGGGCAGAUCUUCCAACCAUCAUAAAUCUGUCAAAAUAUAGAAUUACAUUGAAUUGAAAGGAAACACAAAUGACUUGGGAUCCUAUAGUUUAACAUUUGUUGGUUCUUUUCAUUUUCUUUUUAAACACUCAUGUCAAAAUUACUUUGCUCUUCUUUGAUGCCAUCAUCCCCAUCCAGUUUACAUCCAAUGCUGCCUGUGCUAGCUACAGCUUCAGGUCAGAGGCACUUCCUGGAGCCCUUUUGUUCCAGUGGAGAUGAGGAUGAGGAUGGGGGCACAUCGAUUCAGCAAGAGAAUUCUCUUCGGCUGUGGUGGUGUGGGACUUAACAGGUUAUCAUGAACAAAGAACUUUGAUUCUCUUUGCAUCCUUCAUGCUUCUGUUUAAAAAAAAAAUUGUACUUCCAAUUAAAGCACUGUGGAACCCUGACAUUCGUUGUUUCGACAAUCGCAGACCCUGUGUAUUCACGGCUUAUAAAAUGUGACCUGCUUCGACAUUCAUGUAUUCGUGCGGUUUUUUUUCGUGUUUUUUUGGUGGAGGGGAGUUGAGAUUGGCGUGUGUGUGUGUGUGUGUGUGUGUGUGUGUGUGUGUGUGUGUGUGUGUGUGUGUGUGUGUGUGUGUGUGUGCGCGGGGGGGGGGGGGGGGGGGGGGGGGGGGGGGGGGGGGGGGGGGGGGGGGGGGGGGGGGGGGGGGGGGGGGGGCGCGCGCGCGCGCACUGGAAUUAGAGGCGCCACCAAGUUUUAGAGGAGGGUGAUAAGUUUGAAAAUCCAUUCUUGAUGGUCGACAUGUUUUCUGGCUCUUCUGAGAGUGGACACACUUGUGGGCUUUGUGGAAUGAUCUGAGGUUGCGUUUGGUUGGAUUCUCCUUCCAGGAGAAUGCAAGUUGUUUUAAAGCAACAGCCUCACCACAGCAUUGGAAGCCUGGUGUUGGCUUCGUGGUUAGGUUGGUGGCUUGGGAUCCCAGGGACCUGAGUUCAAGCCCCAAUGGCCACUGAGUUAAUACACCAGGGGGUUGACUCAGCCUGUCAUCCUUCUGAGGUCAGCGAAAUGAGUACCAGUGUGUACUGGUUGAGUGACACUGCAUCAGGUACACAGUUGUGCUUCCAAGAAAUGAUAGCGACCCUGGCAGUUGAGCUGCCAUACACAAGAAAAAGAAGAAGAAGAACACAGGAUUCAGUCUCAAGGGUGAGGAUGGGUAAAACAAUUGAAGAUGAGGUGAGAUGAGUUGGUGCAUAAGAAAGAGCAGGUUUCUUUGGAAGAAUUUGAAGGCUGAAUCAAUAUCGGUGGUGGUGGAUAUGGGAGACAAGUCAUGAAGGAGGAAGGGGGGGGGGCGGAUAAAGAUAAACCUAUCCUCCUUUUCCCAUUGAAACAAUGCCCCGACAUUUGCCAUUCACGGCAUUUUCCAGGAACAUAUCUCCCGCGCAUGUCGAGGUUCGACGCUAUGCUUAUUUUGAUCAAGUAAAGUGUAUGAUCAAUUAUUUUCUUGAAGAAAGAUGGUUAAAAUAAAGUUUGGCAUAAAAUGGGAAGGUGAAGUUAGCACUGUAAAAAAUGAUGACUGCAGUGUAGAAUUAUAUUAUUAUUUAUUUAAAUGAAACCCCAAAAAGGAAAAUGAGCAGACAAACCAGUAUUAAAAUUCCAAUCUUUGUGUUGUGUUUU
rnacentral:lncRNA from 1 species